UAUAUAAGUAUUGGCUUUAGUCCUACUGUUUCCCCUGCAACUUCCUUGCAUUAUUCAACUAGAAAGGAAGGGCAAAAGUUAAGAAGCUGCAUAGAAGAAUAAUGUGCAUCAGUGCAACGCAGAGUAUUCUGUUCCAUCAAAUUCAGACUUCCAAGAACAGGAGACGAUCAAAAAGAUCCAAACUUCAAGUUCUAAGGCUUACCAGGAGGAGAUGUGAAGAGAAGCUGGGGAAAGACAUUGAGCUGAAGAAUCUGCAGCUAUAUAUGAAGAAUCAGACCAUAAUCAAAGAGAAUGAUAAGCUGAGAGAGAAAGCCAAUAUCCUUCAUCAAGAGAACAUAGCUUUAAUGACUGAGUUUCAGAAAAAAUUCCCACAUUUGAAUCAGAGAAAAUGAUGAGAAUCAUAAGAGCUUGACAUGGUUGAUUAUCAUCAGGGUUGCUAGUCUUGCUUGUUUCAUUGCUUUAGUACCUUUACUUU